rnacentral:rRNA from 1 species
UACGGAGGGUGCAAGCGUUGUCCGGAUUUAUUGGGGUUAAAGGGUGCGUAGGCGGCCCGGUAAGUCAGCGGUGAAAUCCCAGGGCUCAACCCUGGAACUGCCGUUGAUACUGCCGGGCUUGAGUUUGGUCGAGGCGGGCGGAACUGGUGGUGUAGCGGUGAAAUGCAUAGAUACCACCAAGAACCCCGAUUGCGUAGGCAGCUCGCUGGGCCAAAACUGACGCUGAGGCACGAAAGCGUGGGGAGCGAACAGG